ACUUGGGCAUAAUUUGUUUGGAAGGGGUUGAGGUUUAUAGGCCCGUUUAUACAAUAGAAGAAAUCCAAACUAUACGGGUCCUAUAGGCACGGUAAAGGCCCAUUGAAGUUUGAUGAGGAGCGUGUCUCAAUUAAUUUUCUCAAUUUCAAAUCGGAGUCAUCUUUGCUGAGUCUUGGCAGGCUGACAUUUUUCUAUUUUAAAGAUUUGACUGCUUUAUUAUGAUAACCAAUAGUGAUCCUCAUGGAGGAGGAUAUAAGUUAUUGAUA
rnacentral:lncRNA from 1 species